GCCUACCAUGGUGGUAACGGGUAACGGGGUGUUAGGGCACGACACCGGAGAGGGAGCCUGAGAAACGGCUACCACAUCCAAGGAUGGCAGCAGGCGCGCAAAUUACCCAAUCCCGACACGGGGAGGUAGUGACAAUAAAUAACAAUACGGGGUUCUUUAGGAUCUCGUAAUUGGAAUGAGUACAAUUUAAAUCUCUUAACGAGGAACAAUUGGAGGGCAAGUCUGGUGCCAGCAGCCGCGGUAAUUCCAGCUCCAAUAGCGUAUAUUAAAGUUGUUGCAGUUAAAAAGCUCGUAGUUGAAUUUCGGGGUUAGUAGGUUGGUCAUGCCUCUGGUAUGUACUGGUCUCACUGAUUCCUCCUUCCUGAUGAGCCGUAAUGCCAUUAAUUUGGUGUUGCGGGGAAUUUGGACUGUUACUUUGAAAAAAUUAGAGUGUUUAAAGCAAGCUAACGCUUGAAUACAUUAGCAUGGAAUAAUGAAAUAGGACGUUCGAUCCUAUUUUGUUGGUUUCUAGGAUUGACGUAAUGAUUAAUAGGGAUAGUUGGGGGCAUUAGUAUUCAAUUGUCAGAGGUGAAAUUCUUGGAUUUAUUGAAGACUAACUACUGCGAAAGCAUUUGCCAAGGAUGUUUUCAUUAAUCAAGAACGAAAGUUAGGGGAUCGAAGACGAUCAGAUACCGUCGUAGUCUUAACCAUAAACUAUGCCGACUAGGGAUCGGAUGAUGUUAAUUUUUUAAUGACUCAUUCGGCGCCUUACA
rnacentral:rRNA from 1 species